UACGAAGGGGGCUAGCGUUGCUCGGAAUCACUGGGCGUAAAGGGUGCGUAGGCGGGUCUUUAAGUCAGAGGUGAAAUCCUGGAGCUCAACUCCAGAACUGCCUUUGAUACUGAGGAUCUUGAGUUCGGGAGAGGUGAGUGGAACUGCGAGUGUAGAGGUGAAAUUCGUAGAUAUUCGCAAGAACACCAGUGGCGAAGGCGGCUCAC
rnacentral:rRNA from 1 species